rnacentral:tRNA from 3 species
GCGGGCGUGAUGGAAUGGUAGACAUAUCGGACUUAAAAUCCGAAGGGGGAAACCCCGUGUGGGUUCGAGUCCCACCGCCCGCACCA